ACGUUGCACCCGCUGCGUUUGCCAGGUCUCACCAGCUUAUUUUCCUUCCUUAAAAAAGUGAAAGAAAAAAAUGCGGAGGAUUUCACAUACUUUGGCUCAGGGCCUUGUUGGAAAUGAUCAGAGAAAUGUCCUUCGAGUGAAGCCCGAAGCCGCCAGCAUUGGUGUCUUCUGACCCUCCUGGCUGUUUGUAUACACCUGCAAGGACUGUAAUAUCCGGAGGCGUCUUGCCAAGAAUUGUCUGAAAAUGCCUCCCUCCUGGGCUUUGCUGUCAUGUGAGGAGUCAAGAUUCACUGGUGUCAGGGAUGUGAGGUUCUUUGACAGUUUUCCAGGCUUCUUCUGACAAAGUUUUGAACCGACUCUUCCUCAAGGUGACCUAUCUUCAGCAGAGCUGGAUCUUUUCUUCCUCAACUCUGUCAGGAGCAGGAGUGGGAGCUGGUCGCCUGGACCAGGCUGCAGAGCUGAGGCACCCAGCACUUUUUCUGCUCUGUGGUUCUUACUCUCAAGAACUGAGAGGAGUCAGUUAUGUUAGAAGCAG
rnacentral:lncRNA from 1 species